UUGAUCCUGGCUCAGGAUGAACGCUAGCGGCAGGCUUAACACAUGCAAGUCGAGGGGUAGAGUUCUUCGGAGCUUGAGACCGGCGCACGGGUGCGUAACGCGUAUGCAAUCUACCUUUUACAGAGGGAUAGCCCAGAGAAAUUUGGAUUAAUACCUCAUAGUAUAAUUGAAUGGCAUCAUUUAAUUAUUAAAGUCACAACGGUAAAAGAUGAGCAUGCGUCCCAUUAGCUAGUUGGUAAGGUAACGGCUUACCAAGGCUACGAUGGGUAGGGGUCCUGAGAGGGAGAUCCCCCACACUGGUACUGAGACACGGACCAGACUCCUACGGGAGGCAGCAGUGAGGAAUAUUGGACAAUGGGCGCAAGCCUGAUCCAGCCAUGCCGCGUGCAGGAUGACGGUCCUAUGGAUUGUAAACUGCUUUUGUACAGGAAGAAACACUGGUUCGUGAACCAGCUUGACGGUAUCGUAAGAAUAAGGAUCGGCU
rnacentral:rRNA from 1 species